rnacentral:tRNA from 1 species
GCACCCUUAGCUCAACUGGAUAGAGUACCUGACUACGAAUCAGGCUGUUAGAGGUUCGACUCCUCUAGGGUGCA